UGCCUUACGUUCAGUUUGUCUCGGAAGGCCAUUCCAGUCUCGGGCAGGUCGGACGAAGAAUGACUGCAGGAACGUAGUGCUGCGGGCUUGUGGUGG
rnacentral:lncRNA from 1 species